rnacentral:lncRNA from 1 species
CAGCACAUGUGUUCCUGAAGACCUCCUUGUGGAACACCUACGGGUGAGCACCUACCUGCAUGCUUCCGGGUUCACCAAUCGCCUACUGAUUGCCCUCUCUCAGGCCUUAACGGAGCACACCUGCUUGGGCUAUCUGCAGCUGGCUGAGGAACUCUGCAGUGAGGAGCUCCAAGAGACUGUGCUAACCUAUCUGAGCAAGUAUCUACUGGAGCGUUCACACCUGAGCAAGGGCUUGGAUCCACAGCUUCUCAGAUUAAGGUCAAAUGGAACUCCACACUUAUGCUGCUUGAGGAAGGAGAACUUGACCUCAAGGAAUGACCCGGAAACAGAUGCUGCAAGAAAGCUUUUCAGGCUGGAGGAAGACAGGGAUGAUGGGAAAUGGAGUUCUCUCACAGAUCUGCCGUUUUGUGCAGAUAAGUGUUGCUUCACCACAGCGGUUCUCUAUAAUUACCUCUAUCUCAUAGGGGGUUAUAGACACUGUGUAAAGAAGGGUUAUGAGUUCAAGAUGGCUUCCUACCACUACAACCCUUUUACCAAUCAUUGGGUAUCGACAGCUCCUCUGAUUAAGACUUCCAGUUCAGCCUGUCCCUUUCCCAUGAUUCCCCACUCACAACCAGCCUGGGACACUGCCUCUAUGUACUGGGGAACAUCCAGAGAACUGGAGAGAAACUGGUGCUGCGUUACGAUACUAGACAAGACUGCUGGUUUGAACUGCUCCCCACACUAACCCGCUCCAGU